rnacentral:tRNA from 1 species
UAGCUCAGUUGGUAGAGCAACUGACUUUUAAUCAGUAGGUCCAGGGUUCGAAUCC